rnacentral:rRNA from 1 species
UGCAAGUCGAGCGAACAGAAGGGAGCUUGCUCCCGGAUGUUAGCGGCGGACGGGUGAGUAACACGUGGGUAACCUGCCUGUAAGACUGGGAUAACUCCGGGAAACCGGAGCUAAUACCGGAUAGUUCCUUGAACCGCAUGGUUCAAGGAUGAAAGACGGUUUCGGCUGUCACUUACAGAUGGACCCGCGGCGCAUUAGCUAGUUGGUGGGGUAAUGGCUCACCAAGGCGACGAUGCGUAGCCGACCUGAGAGGGUGAUCGGCCACACUGGGACUGAGACACGGCCCAGACUCCUACGGGAGGCAGCAGUAGGGAAUCUUCCGCAAUGGACGAAAGUCUGACGGAGCAACGCCGCGUGAGUGAUGAAGGUUUUCGGAUCGUAAAGCUCUGUUGUUAGGGAAGAACAAGUGCGAGAGUAACUGCUCGCACCUUGACGGUACCUAACCAGAAAGCCACGGCUAACUACGUGCCAGCAGCCGCGGUAAUACGUAGGUGGCAAGCGUUGUCCGGAAUUAUUGGGCGUAAAGGGCUCGCAGGCGGUUUCUUAAGUCUGAUGUGAAAGCCCCCGGCUCAACCGGGGAGGGUCAUUGGAAACUGGGAAACUUGAGUGCAGAAGAGGAGAGUGGAAUUCCACGUGUAGCGGUGAAAUGCGUAGAGAUGUGGAGGAACACCAGUGGCGAAGGCGACUCUCUGGUCUGUAACUGACGCUGAGGAGCGAAAGCGUGGGGAGCGAACAGGAUUAGAUACCCUGGUAGUCCACGCCGUAAACGAUGAGUGCUAAGUGUUAGGGGGUUUCCGCCCCUUAGUGCUGCAGCUAACGCAUUAAGCACUCCGCCUGGGGAGUACGGUCGCAAGACUGAAACUCAAAGGAAUUGACGGGGGCCCGCACAAGCGGUGGAGCAUGUGGUUAAUUCGAAGCAACGCGAAGAACCUUACCCUUGACUCCUCUGAACCCUAAGAUAGGGCUUUCCCUUCGGGGACAGAGUGACGGGCAUGGUCGUCAGCUCUGUCGUG